rnacentral:rRNA from 1 species
GACGGAGGAUGCAAGUGUUAUCCGGAAUCACUGGGCGUAAAGCGUCUGUAGGUGGUUUAACAAGUCUACUGUUAAAGCUUGAAGCUUAACUUCAAAAAUGCCGUAGAAACUUUUAAACUUGAGUAUGGUAGGGGUAGAGGGAAUUUCCAGUGGAGCGGUGAAAUGCGUAGAUCUUGGAAAGACCACCAAUGGCGAAGGCACUCUACUGGGCCAUGACUGACACUAAGAGACGAAAGCUAGGGGAGCAAAUGGG